AGCAAAAAUGUGAGGAAAGAAAAGUCUCCCAGGAAUCCCCAGCAGACAUUCACGUUUGUCUCAUCGGCCGGCGCGGUGCCUCGUGGCCUCCUCUAGCUGCAAGAGGGGCUGCCCUCGACACAGUCACAACUAGCGGAGGUCCGCUGCCCUAGAGAGCUGCCAGGCCCAGAGGCUGACGUCUCCCAGUCUCAGGUUCUCCGGGAAGCAGCUCAUUGGCCCAGCUGGAGUGAGGUGCCCACACGGGGACCAAUGAACUGUGCUUUGGGGGCUGAGGCUCCUCGUCUGAGCACAGGUGUCCUCCCCCUGCCCCAAGUGCAUGGAGAGUCAUAGCGAAAUAGGCAGAAGAGGCAGCAGAAGAAGACACACGCAGGGUGGUGGCCCCCCGCCUACUCUCCUUUCUUUAACGCAGUGUACGUGGCAAGAGACAGCUUCCCAAUUCCGCGACCGUCAGAGCUGGAAUAGAGCCCCAGCGCCCCUCUUUACUCUGGGGAAACUGAGGCCCUGAGAGGGUAACGAGCCAUGAGCGGCGUCUCCCAUUCAUUGAAAGAGUCAGGACUGAAGCUGAGGCCUCCUGGCUUCGAGCUCUCAAAAUGGGACUUUUCUAGGUCAAGUAAAAAUGUAACUGAGAACGUAGAGCAACAUGAAGCCAUGGGAGAGCUGUGUGAAGAACUGAGACCAGCUCAGAACCAGCUGGCGGAGUGAGGUGACAGAAGGGUUGCAUCUGCAGCGUCUUUUUGUGGAGUCACCAAUCAAAACCGUCGAACCUGACCUUCACUGUCAAGCUUCCAAUUCCACCAUUGUCAUUGGUCAGAGCUGUUCACGCACCACCAACCAGGCGAGGCUAAACCCCAUUGCUAUACCGACAAUUAGAAUAUUCAUAAGGCUUUAAUGAGAAUGGGAAGGAGGAGCAGGAGAGGACAAAGAUGAUAGAACCACAGCAAAACAAAACUAUGGCUCCCGAGUUUUUAUGUUUAAAUGGAUUUGGGAAGUCUCCAGCAGGGGGGGAAAUAGGAGAAACAGCUGAAACACUGCACAGGGAGUUGUGAAAAUUAUGCACUGCAGGCUCUGAACCUUGUGUAACUACCAAAAGCAAGACGCUCCUGGCAGUUAACGUGCCCGUCUUAGGAAAAGGAAGUGGCAAGUCCAGCCUGAACUGGGGUGGAGAAAUGUGGUCGGUGUGGGAUGCAAAAAAAAAAAAAAAGGUGAACAGACAAAAAAAAGUUAGCAAGGACUUGUAAAAAGAGGAACCAGGGUGAACCAAAACAAAGAAAUCUUUGAUGGCUCUUAGCUCUGGGUUUUGCCCUGGAGGCAAGGAGGGCAGGAGCAGCUA